GCCUCGUUGGUCUAGCGGCAGGACGCCUGGUUCUCAACCAGGAGAUGGCGGGUUCGACCCCCGCACGAGGUA
rnacentral:tRNA from 1 species